rnacentral:rRNA from 1 species
UACGAAGGGGCUAGCGUUGUUCGGAAUUACUGGGCGUAAAGCGUGCGCAGGCGGUGAUGUAAGACAGAUGUGAAAUCCCGGGCUCAACCUGGGAACUGCAUUUGUGACUGCAUCGCUGGAGUGCGGCAGAGGGGAUGGAAUUCCGCGUGUAGCAGUGAAUGCGUAGAUAUGCGGAGGAACACCGAUGGCGAAGGCAAUCCCUGGGCCUGCACUGACGCUCAUGCACGAAAGCGUGGGGAGCAAACAGG